rnacentral:rRNA from 1 species
GGGGGAAUAUUGCGCAAUGGUCGAAAGACUGACGCAGCGACGCCGCGUGUGGGAGGAAGCCCUUCGGGGUGUAAACCACUGUCGGGAGGGACGAAUGGCGGACGGGCAAAUAGCCCGGACGAUUGCCGGUACCUCCAAAGGAAGCACCGGCUAACUACGUGCCAGCAGCCGCGGUAAUACGUAGGGUGCAAGCGUUAAUCGGAAUUACUGGGCGUAAAGCGUGCGUAGGCGGUUUGUUAAGUCUGUCGUGAAAGCCCUGGGCUCAACCUGGGAAUUGCGAUGGAUACUGGCAAGCUAGAGUACGGUAGAGGAUGGUGGAAUUCCCGGUGUAGCGGUGAAAUGCGUAGAGAUCGGGAGGAACACCCGUGGCGAAGGCGGCCAUCUGGACCAGUACUGACGCUGAGGCACGAAAGCGUGGGGAGCAAA